GGCUUCCUUUCCAGUGGAAAGCAAAUUGGUGGGAGAGGGGAAGACCCAUCCCAGACCUUGUCUCAGCUGGGUAAGGUCCUGGGGUCCUGCAGGGUGUCCCUCACAGAGCCAGGAUGCUGAAAGAAAACAUCUGUCCCAGGCCUCUCGCAGCUCAAAGUCUGGAAGUAAACAAACAAAAUAUGAUGGGCUGAGAGCUCCCAACAACCCCCAGCCAAGGAAGCAAUCCAGAGGACGUGCAGUCAGACUGCCAAGGUGCUCCCUGCAAAGGCAGGGUGGCGGUAAAGCAGAGCAGGCUAAGGAGGCCGCAGACCCUGCGCCCCAUGUUCCCCAGUUCUGUAGACUGGCCACACUGCAGAGAGCCGGAGACACCAUCAGAAUGGAGCCGCCAGAGGAACAAAAGACCCUGAUGCUGGGAAAGAUAGAAGUCAGGAGGAGAAGGGGGCAACAGAGGACGAAUGGUUGGAUGGCAUCACCAACUCAUUGGCAUGAGUGGGAGCAAGCUCUGGGAGAUGGUGAAGGACAGGCGUGCUGCUGUUCGUGGGGUGGCAAAGAGUCGGACACAACUGAGGGACUGAACAACAACAACAAGAGGAACAUUGUCACCAUUAUCACCACGGGGGACAUCGCGGCAACGUCUGGGCCUUGAGUGCUGGAAUGAGCUGGAAUGUCAGAGCUGAAGCCCAGUUGGAGCUCAAGUCUUUGCUCGGGCUGCGAAAGAUGGGGGCUGGGAUUGGAGGCUGCAGAAAGAAAGGUAGGCUGCAGGUCAUGGAGAGAGAGCAAGCCCGAGAGAAAGAUGUUGACAUGCCCCCAACUUGCAGCAAGAAGCAGCGUGGACUCACACGGGUGUAAACACACACCUGGACACGCUGGCAUAUGGAAAUGCAUGGACCCACAUACAUGCACACUCACGUGUGGCACACACACACAAGCACUGGGUGCCUUGUGCACACUGCCACAUGCUCCGCCCCCC
ensembl:lncRNA